UUUCUCACUACUUCAUUUUCAAAACUUUUCUUCUAUACCGUAGAAGAAAAUAUGUGUGUGAAAGGUAAGUUGAUUGCUUCAGUAGAGGUGAAGUGUGGAGGCCACCCUAUUCAUGAUAUUUUUCACACCAAUACUCAUCAUAUAUCCAAUAUAAGUCCUGGUAAGGUCAACAAAUUUGAUAUUGAUCGAAGGUGAAUCUGUAAAAGUUGGUUCGGUUGUUAGCUGAAAAUAUAACGACGUAUUGAUUAAUAGCCAGUCAAAUUGUGUCUUGUACAAUUUAGUUGUUAGCUAUACUUUAGGCAUAAAGGAUGAACAAGUAAAAGUUUCGAGGGUAACUCAAGCAGAUUUGAAAUCAGACAGUAAAAAAGUGAACAAAGGGAAACCAGAGCUUUCAUAGGAGGGAAAUGUUUAAUGCGUGACGUUCUGCAUUCGGUACCCACCGAGCAUGGUAAAUCGGCAGCUUUAUAGGAGGGAAAUGUUUAAUGCGUGACGUUCUGCAUUCGGUACCCACCGAGCAUGGUAAAUCGGCAGCUUUAUAGGAGGGAAAUGUUUAAUGCGUGACGUUCUGCAUUCGGUACCCACCGAGCAUGGUAAAUCGGCAGCUUUAUAGGAGGGAAAUGUUUAAUGCGUGACGUUCUGCAUUCGGUACCCACCGAGCAUGGUAAAUCGGCAGCUUUAUAGGAGGGAAAUGUUUAAUGCGUGACGUUCUGCAUUCGGUACCCACCGAGCAUGGUAAAUCGGCAGCUUUAUAGGAGGGAAAUGUUUAAUGCGUGACGUUCUGCAUUCGGUACCCACCGAGCAUGGUAAAUCGGCAGCUUUAUAGGAGGGAAAUGUUUAAUGCGUGACGUUCUGCAUUCGGUACCCACCGAGCAUGGUAAAUCGGCAGCUGACACGAGUCCAAAGUCAGAACGACACGAUUGAUGGGACGUUUCGCUGACUCGUCAACUCGUUUGUAGCGUACAGAGGAAGGAACCGGAGUCGGUUAGUUACUUCUCGUCAUUUCGAUAAAUCUGCUCUCGAAAAAGUGAGGGGACUAUCUGUGUACGGCUAAAAUCGGGGAUAAAUUUACCCCCGAUUUCCUAGUAAAGAAACGAGAGGAAAGGACGGUUUGACAUGGCCUCGAGUAUAGCCGAGGGAUUCCACGGAUCAGAGCCCGAGGAGGACGAAUGUCGAAUGGUGCACCCGAGACCAGACACGGCCGAGCAUUGGGCUCGAGCAGAGUGAAUAGCCGAGACCAAGGAAAAAGGUGGUUAGACGAGAUAAGAUAGCGGCCAAAAUAUUCACUCUAAAUCGGAUAUUACAACGCAAAUCUUGCCCAAUAUCAAACGCGUAUCAAUGUUUACCGGAAAAGUUUUCACCUUAUUUAGAUUUGUACUAGGAUUGAAACUCUCCUACUAUAUAAAAGGGGAACCUUUUUUUUAGGACCAUUGUUGUCACAUAUAUCUAAGCAAUGAAAGUUAAUUUUUGUUCUCU